AUCCUACGGGAGGCAGCAGUGGGGAAUUUUGCGCAAUGGGGGAAACCCUGACGCAGCAACGCCGCGUGAGUGAUGAAGGCCUUCGGGUUGUAAAGCUCUUUUGGUGGGAAAGAAUCGCGCAGGUGCUAAUAUCACCUGCGCCUGACGGUACUCACAGAAAAAGUUCCGGCUAACUCCGUGCCAGCAGCCGCGGUAAUAAU
rnacentral:rRNA from 1 species